rnacentral:tRNA from 1 species
GCUGGGGAUGUGGCUCAAGCGGUAGAGCGCUCGCCUGGCAUGCGUGCAGCCCGGGUUCGAUCCUCAGCACUCAGCA